rnacentral:rRNA from 1 species
AUUGAACGCUGGCGGCAGGCCUAACACAUGCAAGUCGAACGAGUGGCGGACGGGUGAGUAAUGUCUGGGAAACUGCCUGAUGGAGUGGGAUAACUACUGGAAACGUUAGCUAAUACCGCAUACCAUCGGAUGUGCCCAGAUGGGAUUAGCUAGUAGGUGGGGGAAAGGCUCACCGAGGCGACGAUCCCUAGCUGGUCUGAGAGGCUGACCUGCAACUCUGGAACGGAGACACGGUCCAGACUCCUACGGGAGGCAGCAGUGGUGAAUAUUGCACAAGGGGCGCAAGCCUGAUGCAGCAAUGCCGAGUGUAGGAAGAAGGUCUUCGUGUUGUAUAGUACUUUCAGCGGGGAGGCGUUACCCGCAGAAGAAGCACCGGCUAACUCCGUGCCAGCAGCCGCGGUAAUAC